rfam:Glycine soja cultivar W05 scaffold230_8, whole genome shotgun sequence.
UUCUUAUUGGAUGAUGAUUGUCACGUGUCAUGUUUCAUGUUCUAAUUGGAUGUCAACUCCAUGAAAGAUGAAAUGCAUUGUUGUUUUCAUUGACCAAUCAAAACAUAACACCUGACCGUCAUAAUCC